AGUGAACGCUGGCGGUAGGCCUAACACAUGCAAGUCGAACGGCAGCACAGUAAGAGCUUGCUCUUACGGGUGGCGAGUGGCGGACGGGUGAGGAAUACAUCGGAAUCUACUUUUUCGUGGGGGAUAACGUAGGGAAACUUACGCUAAUACCGCAUACGACCUACGGGUGAAAGCAGGGGAUCUUCGGACCUUGCGCGAUUGAAUGAGCCGAUGUCGGAUUAGCUAGUUGGCGGGGUAAAGGCCCACCAAGGCGACGAUCCGUAGCUGGUCUGAGAGGAUGAUCAGCCACACUGGAACUGAGACACGGUCCAGACUCCUACGGGAGGCAGCAGUGGGGAAUAUUGGACAAUGGGCGCAAGCCUGAUCCAGCCAUACCGCGUGGGUGAAGGAGGCCUUCGAGUUGUAAAGCCCUUUUGUUGGGAAAGAAAAGCAGCAGGUUAAUACCCCGCUGUUCCGACGGUACCCAAAGAAUAAGCACCGGCUAACUUCGUG
rnacentral:rRNA from 1 species